GCCGGUGUGAUGGAAUGGUAGACGUAGCGGAUUCAAAAUCCGCCGGGGGUGACUCCGUGUGGGUUCGAGUCCCACCACCGGCA
rnacentral:tRNA from 1 species